rnacentral:ncRNA from 1 species
ACCAAGCCUAGCCCGACGGGGCGAAAAUCGGAUACCUUCAAUCGCUGGCUUGGUUCCUAUCUUUGAAGG